UACGUAGGGUCCGAGCGUUGUCCGGAAUUAUUGGGCGUAAAGAGCUCGUAGGUGGUUUGCUGCGUCCGACUAGUGAAAACCCAAGGCUUAACCUUGGGCUUGCAGUGGAUACGGGCAGACUAGAGGUAGGUAGGGGAGAAUGGAAUUCCCGGUGUAGCGGUGAAAUGCGCAGAUAUCGGGAGGAACACCGGUGGCGAAGGCGGUUCUCUGGGCCUUACCUGA
rnacentral:rRNA from 1 species